rnacentral:rRNA from 1 species
UACGAAGGGGGCUAGCGUUGUUCGGAAUUACUGGGCGUAAAGCGCGCGCAGGCGGCCUUUCAGGUCAGGGGUGAAAGCCCGGAGCUCAACCUCCGGAAUUGCCUUUGAAACUGUCAGGCUCGAGUACGGGGAGAGGUGAGUAGGCAAUUCCGAGUGUAGAGGUAGAAAUUCGUAGAUAGUUGGGAAGAACCGACCGGUGGCCGAAGGCGGGCUCACUGGCCCCGUUUCUGACGCUCAGGCGCGACAGCGUGGGGAUCGAAACAGG